AUGGAUGAUGUCGUCUUGUCGCAGAUGCCACGAGGGGAAGAUAGGCUGGGCGCCCUGACUGAUGACAUCCUGCUCUCCAUCUUGGGGAGGGUGGACCUUGCGACGGCGGCAAGGACCAGCGCUCUGUCGACGCGCUGGAGGAGCCUGCCAUGGCUGCUCCCCGACCUUAACCUCCAUGUCAGAGAUUUUCUGCCUGCCCCAUGCCCAGAUUACCCUAUUGCUGCUGAGCAGAAGUUAUAUUUUUAUUCUCAAAUACCAGCCCAACACAUAGAUCAAGCAAUGGCAUCGCUGACAAGAGCUGCUAGGAGUUUCUUGCGCAUCAAACGCAGCAGCAGAGUCUCAAGAAUGUCCCUUGAGAUCUACCUGGUUGGCAACUACUCACAUGACAUUGGCCCAUUGAUCCGUGACGCCAUUGACAACGGCAUGGUAAAAGGACUGGACCUCAUCAUUGCGGACGACAAGGAUUACAAGUGCAAAGGUGCAGAUAUGCUACAAAAAGCACGGGGCGUGGACGGGUUCUUCAGCGCCUAUCCUAAUAUGCUUCCUUGCCUCACAAGGCUCCAGCUGUACAACCUGCGCUUUGCUGAGGGGGAUAUACAUAACGUCAUAUUUGAUUGCUGCAAGCAGCUGCAGCACCUUAGUCUGGAGACCACUGUGAUGCUGGGGACUGCUCAGUGUGGCAGAUAG
rnacentral:rRNA from 1 species